CUGGUGCUCUUUAUUGCUGUGGUCCUGUUCCAGCCCCAUAGCAGGAGAUUGCUAAUGAUCUGGGCUUGGGAUAUACACCUGUGUCCCUCCAGGGUCGUGGUUCUCUUCUUUUAAUCUGUUUCCUUCCCCAGCCUCAGAGUCUUCACCUGUGCUUUAGUGUGACAGGAUUUGCUGCUUUCCCUCAACUCGCUUAAGGCUCUUGCCCUCUGUAGGGGAGAAGGCUUUAGGAGGGGGUCUGUGUCGUGCCAGCAAAGACUGCCCCUGUGCCAUGACAGCUCCAUCAGGAAGCCUCCUCUCUUCUCAUCUGCUGCUCCCAAUCUUUCUCCUGAGCACCAGAAAUUACCUUGAGAAGAAGCCUGAAAAGGUGCAUGGUGUCCAGAAGCAUCUCCUCCAGCCAUGUGAAGACGGACAUAUUUGCUUCCCUUGCUGCCAUGAUUGUAAGUUUCCUGAGGCCAGCCAUGCAGAACUGUGAGUCAAUGAAACCUCUCUCCUUUAUAAAUUACCCAGUCUCGGGUAUGUCUUUGUAGCAGCGUGAGAAGGGACUAAUACAGUGAAGUUUGCAAUGAUUUGAUUAGUUUUUUUUUAAUAGACUAGAGUAGAUUCAGAGUUAAAAGUUCAACAUUUUCAUAACUGGUUGUCAAUUGAUCCCACAUUCCUCACAAAGUGAGCACUUAUCUGUUUACAAGUCAAAUAGAAAUAUCCAUCCCAUCACAGAAACCCAGAAGAAAAAUAAACUUCUCUUUGUAGACAGGGGAGCACAAAUAACUGCAUUCCAGGCUAGUGUCUUCAUAGCAAUAUAUUUUGAGAGCUUAAGAUGAUUGGGUGAUGAGCUCCUGGCUUGAGACACAAACUAGCCCCACUUAGACGUUGUUUGAGCUCUCCUGCUUCAGAUGGUUCUUCUUCCAGAGCAUCACUGUUCCUGACAAUAAAAUAUAUCUAAAGGGAAACUUGUAGCUUUCUUUGCAAUAGACCAGCUUUCUGCCAUUCCUGCAUUUAGAUCUUAUAUAAUCUCAAUAAUAGAAAUCACAUUUUUUUGGUAUAUACCACAUAAUUGUGAAUGAAAGUUUUCACACAGUAAGCACUAAUUAUUUUGCUUGUUAACUUGAAAAAAGAAAAUUAUGU